rnacentral:rRNA from 1 species
GCGCUGAAGGUUGGUACUUGUACCGACUGGAUGAGCAGCGAACGGGUGAGUAACGCGUGGGGAAUCUGCCUUUGAGCGGGGGACAACAUUUGGAAACGAAUGCUAAUACCGCAUAAAAACUUUAAACACAAGUUUUAAGUUUGAAAGAUGCAAUUGCAUCACUCAAAGAUGAUCCCGCGUUGUAUUAGCUAGUUGGUGAGGUAAAGGCUCACCAAGGCGAUGAUACAUAGCCGACCUGAGAGGGUGAUCGGCCACAUUGGGACUGAGACACGGCCCAAACUCCUACGGGAGGCAGCAGUAGGGAAUCUUCGGCAAUGGACGAAAGUCUGACCGAGCAACGCCGCGUGAGUGAAGAAGGUUUUCGGAUCGUAAAACUCUGUUGGUAGAGAAGAACGUUGGUGAGAGUGGAAAGCUCAUCAAGUGACGGUAACUACCCAGAAAGGGACGGCUAACUACGUGCCAGCAGCCGCGGUAAUACGUAGGUCCCGAGCGUUGUCCGGAUUUAUUGGGCGUAAAGCGAGCGCAGGUGGUUUAUUAAGUCUGGUGUAAAAGGCAGUGGCUCAACCAUUGUAUGCAUUGGAAACUGGUAGACUUGAGUGCAGGAGAGGAGAGUGGAAUUCCAUGUGUAGCGGUGAAAUGCGUAGAUAUAUGGAGGAACACCGGUGGCGAAAGCGGCUCUCUGGCCUGUAACUGACACUGAGGCUCGAAAGCG